rnacentral:rRNA from 1 species
UACGGGGGGGGCAAGCGUUGUUCGGAAUUACUGGGCGUAAAGGGCUCGUAGGCGGCCAACUAAGUCGGAUGUGAAAUCCCCAGGCUUAACCUGGGAACUGCAUCCGAUACUGGAUGGCUUGAAUCCGGGAGAGGGAUGCAGAAUUCCAGGUGUAGAGGUGAAAUUCGUAGAUAUUAGGAAGAACACCAGUGGCGAAGGCGGCUCACUGGCCCAUUACUGACGCUGAGGCACGAAAGCGUGGGGAGCAA